UUUUAAUUGUAAUAUAUCAUUUCUAAAUUUACUUAUAGCAGAAUAACAAAUGCAAAUUUACAUUAAAAAAUCUCUUUUCCUCAUAACUUGGCCUUACAAUAAAUACACAACAUUUUCAAAUAUAGAAGCUAUAAAACAACAAAGAUUUAAACAGCAGAAAACAUUUAUCAGUUAAAUAUAUUGUUCUUGCAAGUGGUCAAUCAUAUUGGAACUCUCACAUUUCCUUUCUUUUAAAAGAGAACUACAUUGGACAAAGCAUUAAGGUAUAUGUCAUUACAAAAAUAAUGAGAUACAUAAUUACUUGCCAUAAUCCCCCUCCCCCUCCCCAAAAAAGAAACAAGAUCCUAUAGCAAUAAGAGUCAAUAUUUUAUUUAUUAGAAUAUAUUAAAAGUCUAUACACACACCUUAUCAAAA
rnacentral:lncRNA from 1 species